rnacentral:rRNA from 1 species
UACGUAGGGGGCAAGCGUUGUUCGGAUUUACUGGGCGUAAAGGGCGCGUAGGCGGCGCAACAAGUCACUUGUGAAAUCUCCGGGCUUAACCCGGAGCGGCCAAGUGAUACUGUCGUGCUAGAGUGCGGAAGGGGCUACUGGAAUUCUCGGUGUAGCGGUGAAAUGCGUAGAUAUCGAGAGGAACACCUGCGGCGAAGGCGGGUAGCUGGGCCGACACUGACGCUGAAGCGCGAAAGCCAGGGGAGCGAACGGG